GCCCGUGUUCACAGAGAUGAGAAGUUCUGGGUCUUCCUAAAGCUUCUGCCUUCAGGCCUGCCUCAGUCUCCCCCAUGGUAUAUCUGCUCCCGCUAACCACCUGUAGACCCGGCCCAAGCCCACGCCAUCGAUGACAAGGCUUUGAAGGCCAGAAAAUGAAUGUCCCUUGACAAAGCUCCUGUGACAGCCCGGAGACGCCCCUCCCUGUCUCAAUCGCAUCCCACCUCCUACCCGAGCAGCAUUGCAGAAACCCCUCCACCCUUCUUUCAGCGCCCCCCAAGCCCCCUGCGGCCUCCCCAAAACUACAGAGGAAAGCAGACACACACACAGCUUCAUGAAAAGAGACUAAAACGCAAAGAAAGGACCUAAUCUUAGAACACAUUCAAUGCAGCCUGCCGCCCCACAGAUAUCCUUCCCCUGAACAACGACGCUCACCUCCUCCAGAAAGCAUCCAUGGGCCUAUGCGUACCAAGGGCUGGGUGGCAGAACAGAUCACCUCUGGGUAGGUAAUAAGGGGGUACACUGUCUAAAGGGAUUUAAAAAUGGUGAUAUCAAUGUUAUAUCAAUGGGAAUAUCUGUUAUUCAGGUAUUGCCCCU